rnacentral:misc_RNA from 1 species
UGGCUCUCGCAUNGAUGAAGAACGCAGCGAAAUGCGAUAAGUAAUGUGAAUUGCAGAAUUCAGUGAAUCAUCGAAUCUUUGAACGCACCUUGCGCCCUCUGGUAUUCCGGAGGGCAUGCCUGUUUGAGUGUCAUGAACACCUCACCCCCUCGGGUUUCCGAUCGGGUGGAUUUGGGUGCUGCCAGUUACAUGGCUCGCCUUAAAAGCAUUAGCGGUUGUUGACGUAAUAAGUUUCGUCUUGUCGACCGCUCCUAAUCUCCUUCGGGAUGUCUCUAGGGACACUUCAUGAUCUGACCUCAAAUCAGGUAGGACUACCCGCUGA